AAACCGUGGUUCCUGCGUCGACUCCCGACAUGCCUUGGAGUCCUGCAAUCCCCAUGUGUACAACCCCUUCCUUGAACACCAAAUCUACACCAACAACCGAGUACCUGACCUGAGCAAGCUGCCACCGCCGCGACCCUUCGCCACGCACAUCCCUUUCCAGUCCCUACCGGCGUCGGUGACGGAGUCAGGCUGCAGAGUCGUGUACAUACCCCAAGGACAACUUCAUAUCCUUACGGCACUUCAACAACAGAUUCAGGACGGAGGCUAACUUGGAGCCAUGGACACUCGAGAAGGCCUUCGACAACUUCUGCAAGGGCUUCUCCAUCUUCGGGCCGUACUGGGACCAUGUGCUCGAUUACUGGAAGGCGCACUUGGAAAGGCCGAAGAAGAUACUGUUCGUGAAGUACGAUGAGCUGCAGCAGGACACCGUAGCUCAGCUGAAGCGGCUGGCGGAGUUCCUUGGCCGCCCCUUCUCGGAGGAUGAGGAGAAGGAAGGGGUGAUCGAUGGCAUCGUGCGGCUGUGUACCAUGGAGAGCUUAAGCAAUUUGGAGGUGAACAGGAGCGGCACCACGGACUUGGGGGAUUGGACGGUGGACAACAGCUCCUUCUUCAGACGCGGUCUGGUAGGGGAUUGGCUGAAUCAUCUCUACGCCCGAGAUGGCUGAUCGAUCGGAUGAGAUGACGACGGAGAAGUUUGCUGGUUCUGGUUUGACUCUCUAAGCCAUAUCUUGCAAGAAUUAUAUAUAUCGAAACUUAUAUUGGAUCUUAAUUCGAUAAAUGAUUUGGAAAAGUGCAAGACAGGUAAUUACUGUAAGUAAUGGUUCACCCGAGUUCAGUCCAACUCGUAACUCGCACCGCAUCAAACCCGGUCGAACUCGGCCUCUCCCCCAACUCAGAAUAUAUCUAUUAAUGCAGGAAAAAGGUCAAAACAUCAAUGCAUGAAUAUAAAUCGAUAUAACUGUUCUUCGUAGAAGAUUGCAAGAAUAUAAGUUUCGAUAUAAACACCUUCAUUCAAUUACCAGGCGUUACAUCAAACAUUAAGUUCGCGAGAGAUCCCAUAAGAUCCGACAGAUGACAUUGACAACCUUAACAACAAGCCUCGAAACUGCAAACAUCAAACCAGAACUAAAUUUAUCCUCCGUCGUCUUCUCCGAUCGAUCAACCACCUCCCGGCGUGAGAUGGUUUAGCCAAUUCCCCACGACACCUGUGUUGGUGUUCGAUAGAAAGUUUCCUUUCGAUCAGCAGAAUUGCAUUGUGUGGGUAAAACAAAAUUCGAUCUUUUAGCUAAAUGGCAACAUAUCGAAUUGAGAUAUCCGAGUAAGUGAUCAGAAGUCCACUGUUUGUUUGUGUGUCAGAAGUUUGGAAGACACAUAAGUCAAAAUAGGCUGUCUUUUUUUGCUGCUCUUUUUUGUCAAAGCAUGCUUGUCUUUUGGUAAGACUCUGUUUCCUCAUUGAAAACUUUGUCUUUUGGUGGCAGUCUUCUUCAAUUAAAGCCUGUCAAUUGAUCGAACGAGCUGAGGAUCUACAGCCAUAUGAAUGGAGUGAACCAAUUCAACUUAGGUAUAUAGAUUGACGGAAAAGCAAGAUAUGAGACAGAUUAUAACGAUCGAAUGAUCUAAUGAUAUUAUAUCUAACUUAUUGUCAUUGAUUUGAUGUACUUUCGAGUGAUUGCAUUUUAGCUCAAAUCAAGUAGCAGCACACACUUGACCUUCUCAUUCAUCCAACCAGGAAACACAGCCAUCAAAAAGCCAGCUCUAAGCACAAAGAAGAAGCUCUUAAGCCUCCAGAAAACAUUGCACUUCAGUCUACAAGUUCUCCUUGAGGCUUGUAUCCUUUUGAAUCCAUGCACAAAUGCUAAUUUUCUUUUCUUAUUUCCAUACUCUUUUGCUUCCUCAUCUUCUCCGAGGUAACACUAUUUCUUCAUCGUUCUUUUUCGUUCACUGGAGAGGCAAUGCUGGUAAAAUUGGCGAGGUAUACAGGCAGCAGUAAUACUCCUCUGUUCCUUCUUUGUUCUCUUUUCCGGAUCCAAGAUGCUCAAUGAAUGCUUCGCUUAUGGUGCGUUUGAGCUUCCUCAAAUACAGUUGUACUGAAGAGAAAAGAAGCAGCAGACUGAUGGAAUCAAAGAAGCCAUAAUGGCCCCUUCUAUAUUCCAUCUGUCAAGCAGCAGCAGAGCCAGAUUUGGUUGCUACAAGAACGUCUCAAGUUUUGUUCUUCUUCGAAAGAAAGAUUACAUCCUACAUUUGUUCUGGAAGAGGAAUCGAAUAGAACUAAGACAUCUCCUCAUGAACACCAAAAACACUAACAGCACAACUGUUCAAAAAGAGCAUUCAUCCAAUGAAGCAGACAGUGAACGAGGUGAAAUCUAUAAACGAAAGAUGAUUAUCUACUAAAACAUCAACAUUGAUGAGCUGCCAUGAUAUCUUUCUUCACCUCUGCUUCCCUACAUUCCAACGCAGCUACAAAGAAGCCAGAAACACCCAUUACUCCAGAGAUAUGUCGCUAUACAUCUCUCAGAACAAUAAAGAGAAACUAGGAGCUACAGCGAGAGGAAGCCAGAGCAGCCAUCAUCGAAGUUGAGCGCAUAGCUGAAGGGAUCAUAAUGGAAGCUGAAACGCUGCUUGCUCUCUCUUGCUCUUCCCAGCUGCCUCCUUAUUCCGGCUCUGAGCCUCCAGUAGAGGCUUCUAAACCUCCCUUUCCCUCCUCCUGUGGCCGUCCCAGCCUCUCCUGCGGCUGCCAUCACCACUCCACCUCACAGAGAGCAAAUGGAAUAAGAUUCCCAAACCUUCGAGGGACGCAAGACAGCACCGCACCUGACAAGGAGCAGGCGACCUCUAGUCCAUCCUUCGGAAGGAGAGGUGAGAUAGAAUGAGACUGGUUGGGUUAACUCUGAGGCUAUAGUGGACGUUACAGAGCUUUAUAGGACGGACAAAGAUUGUGGGAGUGCUACUUUUGAUUCCUCUUUCACUUUGUUUAUGCUCCUAUGUUCACAAUAUUAUGGUAUGUGGCAAGUUUUGGCCAUCACAUGGGCAAAGGGAGGUCAGAGCUGCAUGCCUUGUGGCUUGCUACUGCUUCCUUCAUAUUUAAUGCUAGCAUGUCCAUCUAAUUAAACAACAGAAAAUCCAAGAAAAUUCUGAGAAUAAUUGAUGGAUGUAUGAUCCAGUUCAAACUAUUGUUGUGCAGAGAUGCAAGUGGAAUGUGGAGCCCUGAUGAGGAGGUAUCUCAUCUUUCUUUAAAGCUCCCAGUAGUACUGGAUUGAGAAACUGGGGGAGGUUGAUUCAAUCACUCUUUCUACUUUGUCUCCGGGUUCCAGAAUUCAAUCACUAGCAACCAUGGCCUAGACCUGACAAUGGUUCCGAAACCACCGAUGGAUCAGUUCAUUAGCAAAGAAAUGCUCAAGUUGAAUCUACUUCACUCGACCUUAACCUUCACUGUCCUCUGUUCACUUUGUUCUCAACUCUCUCUUCCAGUUCAAUUAACUCGAGAUUGCUAUCAGAAGAAUUCUGUCUCCAGCCAUGUGAAGUCCACACUCCACUGUCAGAAGACAACAAUCUGAGACGAGAAGAGGCCAUGAAACCUUUUCAGAGUUUUGGGAGACAAGUAUGGAGGGCUUUAUGAAGAGUCCUUUUUAGUCUAAGAUUCCUUCUUUCUUUAUUUCCAAAUAGGAGCAAUUCAAAUAGUUCCUUCAAAUGUCUUAAUAUUCUGUGUCAAGCUGAUACAGAGGUUGUGAAAGGAACUCCACCCACAGUUAGCCCCAUGAGGCGAUGUUUCCUCUCAACAGAGACAACCAAGUGUGUAUCUCUUCAUCACUGGAACAUAUUAUACUCCAGAGAUCAUAAUAAGAGGGUCAAGAAUAAAUAAUCGAAGACAAAGUGACCUGGGCUACCUUGCGUAGAAUCUGGCGACCCAUGGUGCAAGAUCAGUAUUUUCUGGAUCUCUUUGGAUUUUGGAGUAGUAAUCAGACCAGUAUGAAGGUGAUAAUCUAUCAGUGAAUCCCUUAUCGUAGAUGCAAAAUGGCAACCAGUCUUCACCACCAUUCAUCCUCCUCUUCCUUUCCCUGGGAUAANNNNNNNNNNNNNNNNNNNNNNNNNNNNNNNNNNNNNNNNNNNNNNNNNNNNNNNNNNNNNNNNNNNNNNNNNNNNNNNNNNNNNNNNNNNNNNNNNNNNNNNNNNNNNNNNNNNNNNNNNNNNNNNNNNNNNNNNNNNNNNNNNNNNNNNNNNNNNNNNNNNNNNNNNNNNNNNNNNNNNNNNNNNNNNNNNNNNNNNNNNNNNNNNNNNNNNNNNNNNNNNNNNNNNNNNNNNNNNNNNNNNNNNNNNNNNNNNNNNNNNNNNNNNNNNNNNNNNNNNNNNNNNNNNNNNNNNNNNNNNNNNNNNNNNNNNNNNNNNNNNNNNNNNNNNNNNNNNNNNNNNNNNNNNNNNNNNNNNNNNNNNNNNNNNNNNNNNNNNNNNNNNNNNNNUACAUUCUUUACUUUUACGUGAGGUUAAACUUUUGGCAUCCUGAUUCAAUUGGAUCAAAUGGCUAAAAUUUGUAAGGCAUGUAUUCUAUGUCGAAAUGUGUCUAUUUUUGUCUUCCUAUAUGCCCUUAUAACAUAAAGUAGGAAGCUACCUGUGUUGUUUCUGCAAUUUGUCAGCCUAAACUAUGCAACAAGUUAGGCACAUAAUGCACCUCUUCAAUUCACUGUCUAGACUUCCUAUAACACACUCUCCUGCCAAAAACCCUCUUGUGAGAGUGUAAGUCAGAUUGGCAGCCAGUCACACAAGGUUUCUUAUGGAUUAAACUUUGAAUCACAAAGCAGAUCAAGGAUGAGAAAACAUUGUGAAUAAUCAGGACUGAUUUAGCAAAAAUAAAAUAACAACAGAGCCAAAUAACACUAUUGCAGUCCAUUUUUGAGUGUAAAUAUGUAUAUUUGCAAGCAGAUAUAUGAAAAAAAUGGUCUGCUAACUUUUUCACAUUUUUCCCUAGGUAAGAUAAAUCAAAAUAACAUAAUGAAUGCAUAUUGAUGAUAAGUAUAUCUGAACAAUCAUAUCAUAAACACAUAAAUCAGAUAACUCUAAGAUGCCAUCCAAGAAAGAAUACCAUGCUCAAAAUGAAUGCUAGAUGUCUAAGGGGUCAUUUGGUCGCUCACAUUUGGAAAUGAUGCAAUCCAAAUGUAGGCAUUACAUCAAAAUGAGAGAAUUUGGUUACUUGUACUAUUGCAAAUUACAUGCAGUUUGAACACAGAUCUUGUAACUUGCACUCCUGACAUAUGGUUGAACUGCAGGGUUUUCGUUACCGGAACUCAUAAAUGUGGCAAUCAAACAAACCCUAAGUGCCCAUUCCUGGCAACUAUAAUCAUGCAUUAUCAUUUUUGUUACCUUCAUACUGGUGUUUGGAGAAAUAAAGGACCUACACAUUUAAAGUGCAAAUUACCUUGGAACAAAAUGAGAGAAUGUUAUCAAAUGACAACUAGUCUUUCGUAUCUCUUCGAACAAAUUAUGGUUCUUCUCAUUCAUAAUAUCAAAGAAGUGAGCAAGGGCAACAUCACCAUUUGCUAGUUGUAAAGGACACUUGCAUGAGUGAAAAUCCUUGCAUGCCUGGUCGUAUAUAUAGGAAACAACGAUCAUGAUAUAGACAAGAUAACUAAUUGUUUAAGAAACUACAACAACAUUGACAAACCAUCUCAAGUGACAAAGAGGAUAGUUUCGUCACCAAAAGCAAUUUGGUUAAGAAUUAUCAAGUCAGUCACUUAUGAUCUUACCAUCUCAAGUGAUGGAAUUCGAAUGCCACUUAUAUCUUUCUCUGUGUCAAAACUCUGCAACAGAAUAUACUACAGUAUAAGAAAUUUUGAAUGCAUAAGUUUGACACAACUGACUGUAAAAAAGCCACAAGAAAACAUUGUUUCAUCAAUGAGAACGAUCAACUACCUUGUGAUACCAUGAAAACAAAGGAAUGAUACCCACAUCCCCCACAAUUCUUGGAGAGGUUUCUAUUCCUAGUUUGCUGCAUGCAUCAAGCAAAGCGUUCAGCUUCUCCACAGAGUCCAUCUGAAACGAGAAUUCUAGCUGUAUCAGUUAGUUGAUCUGGCAACCAUGUAAAUCACAAACUUGUACACCUCCCGAGUAGCCAUGUCUCAGAUUGAUUAAAGAUCCAUGGUAUCAGUUCAGAAAAAGGCAACAGAAUGUUUUUGUCAACACUUGAUGCAGUAAUGCAAUUGUCCCUAAGUGGAGAAAUAACUUGAGCAAGUCGAAAGCUUCAUCAACAUUAUCAAACAUAAAAUCAAGAAAACCUUACAAAUUUUCCACCUUCUCUUCGACACCAGAGAUCAUGGUUUCCUGGCACAUAGAAAACACUGUCAAACCUCUGCUUCAACUCAGCCAUGGUGAACACGAAGUUCUUAUAUGUCUCCGACACGUCUCCAGCGACAAUAAGAACAUCCUUCUUGUACCAAACGGUUGAAAGGCGCCUCACCCACUCCAUGUUCUCUUUAUAGUCCGUGUGCAAGUCCGAUAAAACAAAGACUCUCAUGUCACCUGAGUCACACGGACCACGAAACAAACGGUUCGCGGGCAACUUCUGUUGCCUCUCACCGCAAGCUAUCUUCGUGCUUCUACCGCAUCUUGUGGAAGCCAAACGAUCGAAUCCAUCUGCGGAACAAUUCGUCUGGCGCAUUACUCCCGAUAAACAAGGCAAAGAACUCACCACGACGACAGCCAUUUCAUCAGAUGUUGAUCAAUUGGUCAAUAAAUGGAACCGCAAAUCUUCGAGGCAAAGAAGUUGAUCUACUCACUUCGGAGCAUCAAUCAGACGGUGUGACAACCAAAAGGGGAUACCACAAACCAUAGUAGAGAUCAGAAUUUACGAAAGGUGGGUUCUUUCGAUGUGUGGAUGUUCUAAUUGCAUCGUGUGGAUGUUCUAAUUUCUAGUAAUUUGGUAGCCUUAGCUUCACUUCUAGAGUUCCAUCGUAUUAGGGAUUGGUGAAGCCUAGUUCUCUAUAAUCGAACUAAUACUAAAUGCAAUUGAAUGCAACGAUCCAUUAUAUUUAUGAUCAACCCAACCAACUUCAUAAACGGCAGGAAUAUUAUUGCAGCUACAACGAAGGAAUUGCACAAUGAAAUCUUGGAAAGCGAAUGGCCACAACUUGUAAUCAUGUCCUCAAACCAAAAGCAAGAUCAUAACAUGGCAUGUCCUCAGCUAACCCCACAGUUAGCUUGUUCACAUCCAAGUUGUUAGAACAUGCUCCGAUAUCACAUCAAAACAGAUGGGAUGGUGGAGAAAUCACAUCCUAAUGGGUCCUAAAUUUCGUAAUUACAUUUGUUUAAGACUAAAUAGAUAACAUUCGGUAAUCAUAUUUGUUUAAAAUAGACAUAAUUAGAAAUGAUUGUGUAUGGAAAAAAAUUCAUCUUUUAUAUGGAUAUAAAUGUACUUUUACAUAUGCUUAUUCUAAUAAAAGAAAUCCUCCAUUUCCAUCAACAUAUGUAUCUACGUUUUUCAAGAUUAUAUAUAUAUAUAUAUAUAUAUAUAUAUAUAUAUGUGCGUGCGCGCGAUAAUGAUAAUAAUAAUAACAUGCGCACGAUAAUGAUAAUAAUAAUUAUCAUAAUAGUGCAUAAUAGUGUAAACAAGGUGACUAGUGGUGUUACAAUAAAUGAUAAUAAUAAUAAUAAUAAUAAAUAUCUAUCAUUAUAAUAGCAGUGGUUACAAUAGUAACAUCGAUGAUGAUGACAGAUAUUAACAAAAGUGAUAGUGAUAAUUAUCAUAGUAAUGAGAAAAUGAUAAUAAUGAUGGUGUAGCAAAAUAUAUUAGAUGUCAAUUAAAUAAAUAAUGAUAGGAGAAAUCUUUGAAUAGAUCGAUCACCAAACGAGUAUCCGAGUCGUCUUCGACCAAGUCGUCUUCGACCAUAACAAAGCUUGAAUUAGGUCAGAGUGAUCCGAUAAUUAUCUACACCAACUCCACAUCAAUUAUAUAUAAUCAUAUUUAACUCCACUUUCAUAUGAAUACUUCAAAAGAAACCGUAACGUACGUUACACACGAUUCCGGGAGCUAAAUGGAACCGUGACGAGAUAGCGGCACUCGCCUCGAAGAGGCCACGUUGUCGUGCGUCGCCACACCCGUCGAGGGCCCCACGUGUCGGGUCAUGCUGGGACCAAACACAGGGAACAGAUCACGGGCGAAGCGCAUACACCCACGUUUCCCAUGCACCCGUGCCGCAAGAAGGUGUUUGAUGUUUGGUCCGAGGAGUGCCGCGGUGCCGGCGGCAGCGUGCAAGCAAGCAACGGUGUUACACGGCGGGGAGUUUAUCUAAAGAUUGGGAGUCCGCGGGGGACUGGCGCGAGGGUAAGUGGGUUCCACUCUUCUCCGUUCCCCCUCUCCCUCCCUCCGCGAAACAUACCUACCGCUUUUGGAUCAACACUAUAUAUAAUAGGGUGUGUGGCUUCGGUUGGGAGUUGAGGAUGGCUCGAGUUGCAGGUGAAGCAACAAUGACGUCUCUCCUACUCCUCCUCCUCUUGCUACCGACGGCAGCAACCGGAGGCAGAGUCACCAAAGGUUGGGAAUCGGCGGUGGAGAGGAGGAGAAGCGUGUUGGACAAUGGCCUCGGCAUGACUCCUCCCAUGGGGUACAUGUUUCCUCCUCCGCUUCCGAUCGUGUUUUCUUCCUCUUUCUUGUCGAUGAGUAUUAGUUUUCAUUCAUCUUCUUUGUUCUCUGUAUGUUAGCCUUGUUAUCUAUUCCUCAGACUGCAAGGACCCCAUCUUUGCUCCUGCUCUAUGCUUCAAGCAUCCAAUUAUGUUGGUAGACGUAUCUAAUUGAUGAUAUUAAUCUCACCAAAUGGAUCAGGUGGAACAGCUGGAACCAUUUCCACUGCGACAUCAACGAGCAGCUCAUCAGAGAAACAGGUAGGACUCAUCUCUCUCUCUCUGCUCUGGGAGAUCUAGGCUUUGUUCAUGCCGCUGCUAUACCCACUCCACCUAACCCACGAUGUGAUGUAAAGCUACGCAAUAAGUCCAGUUUGCCGUCCGUAAAGGAUUUGCAUGAAAGCGAAGUCUUCGAUUUCUUGAGUCAACACGUGACUCACGUCGGCCACGAAUCAAUACAAAGGAAUACUGAGAGAUCGCCAUGGACGGAAGAUGACCAACUUGUGUUGCGGUCUAUCUGACAAUCAAAGGAAACCUUACAAGAAGACAAAAUUAUUUUCACUUACACAGAAGCUUUAUUGACUAUGUGUGACAUCUUAUGCAGCGGAUGCGCUGGUGUCCACCGGACUUGCCGAAGUGGGUUAUCAAUACGUCAACAUAGGUGUUCUUCUCUAUCUAUAACCUUCUUGUUCUUAGUGACUGAUUCAGUAGAUCCAUGUAAAUACCACUAAUUACUGUGGUUUGUUGCUGUAAUUUCUGGAUUCACUGCCGACAGACGACUGCUGGGGAGAAAACUACCGGGACUCUCAGGUGAGAAUUUAUGUCAAACGUUGUCUUCUCCUUUCUACUGCGCCAUGGAUUUUGUUGGAUGCAAGCGGCGGUUUGCUCCCAACACCAUCAGACCAUGAAUUCUAGGCAUGACAAAAGUUAUACGUGGCUAUGAACUGGUUCUUUGCCCAUGUCAGUACUUGAGUAGAAAACUUGGAGAUUUGUAUGACGCAGCUAUUUCAUGUCUGUUCUGCUUCAACGCAUGCAGGUGCAUCGAAACAUUGUCAUCUUGUGCUUCUUCUUCCUGACACUCCAAAGUUCUUACCAACUCACAGCUGUUUUUGCUUGUUUUCAUCGCUCGCCUGUGGCUGUUUGACUUAUCGACAUUCAAAUAAAAUUUCUUUGGCCCAAGAUUAUGAUUUUUAAGUAUUUUACAUUUUUUAUUUGCAUAGUUCAACUUCAACCAUAACCAAAUUUGAGUGUCUGAUAAGAAGUUUAGAAGUAUGUAUGGAAAACAAUAUAUACAUAAGAAAAAACAACAGUUUUACCAGGCAAUGUGUAAGAAAAGUUUUUGGUUCAUAUAAAUUCUUAUUAUUUUUGUUAUGUAAUAAUAAACUGAUUCGUUAUAUAAUAGAUGAACUGAUCUAUUGUCUCAUAUGGUUUAGGAGAUCCGAGUAGUAUAAACUGAUCCGUGUUGAGAUAUUACAGAACUGUCAAUUCCUUUUUCUAUUCCAUGAUGAUUUCAGGGCAAUUUAGUUGCGAAGCAGUCAACAUUCCCCUCUGGGAUAAACUCUCUUGCAGAUUACGUGCAUGGAAAAGGACUUAAGCUUGGAAUCUACAGUGAUGCAGGGUACUAAUUUUCAUGUUGUUCAUUCCAUGACUCCACUUUCUGUGAUUACCAGUGUUGGAUUUGGCAAUCUGCAAGUUAAACUAACAUUGAAUUAAACAAGUAGCCACUUGAGACAUCAUAAAACUCGAUUCUAGUGUAGCUACCCCAAAAUUCUACAUAGAAUUUAGCUGAUUAGCCACUCAGGUUUUGUGAAUCCACCAGUUCCUUUUGAGCACUUGUGGUCUUCUAGGAUAAGUAGUGCUGGCAAACUAAUUGUGACCUCAAACAAAACAUUUCAGGACACAGACAUGCAGCAAGACAAUGCCCGGGUCACUGGGAUAUGAAGAUCAAGAUGCUCAAACAUUUGCCUCUUGGGUAUGCAAGAUCUGUUUGAAUGUUAAGAUACUACUCUGUCAUGCCUCAGUUGUUUGGUCUGUCUUCAUUCUUCUAUUGUGGCUUCUACUUCAGGGUGUUGAUUACUUGAAGUAUGACAACUGCAACAACCCUGGUACCAACCCAAGAGAAAGGUUAGCUAUGUGGUCAAUGUCAAGAAGCACAGAUAGUUUAAAUGCCAAUUUAGCGGACUCCAGCCAUGGCUUAAGAACUGAUGUCUGAGCUGCUUUUUGUUGCCGACAUAGGUACUCUAAGAUGAGCAGUGCUCUUCAGAAUUCAGGAAGGGACAUCUUCUUCUCUCUCUGUGAAUGGUGAGUUUGCAGAAAGAGAAUCUGACAUUAAGCUUGUGUUAGAGUCAUCAUCGUAUACAUGGAGAAAUCUGACUUGCUCUGGAAAAAACUGUAUCACAGGGGAGUAGAUGACCCAGCAACUUGGGCGAGCAGUAUAGGCCACAGUUGGAGAACAACAGGAGACAUCUUCGACAGUUGGGACAGGUUGAAAUGAACACCUACAUGAAUUGUUUCAUAAGAUACAUUAGAUUCCUCCAAACCUCACUUAGAAACUGAUGUUUCACAUGGUGUCAGCAUGACAUCCCGUGCUGAUGAGAAUGACAAAUGGGCAUCUUAUGCAAAGCCUGGAGGCUGGAAUGGUACUCGACGAUACUGUUCCAUUAGACUUGUCCUUCCACCUUGUCGACAGUAUCGAUUACCAUAACAUGAUUCUCAAUCAUGUAGAUCCCGACAUGCUCGAAGUAGGGAAUGGUGGGAUGACGACAGAGGAGUACCGAUCGCAUUUUAGUAUAUGGGCGUUGGCAAAGGUAUUCAACUGUAACCACAUCUUGAUUGCACUACCAGAGAAAUACUAAUGCCGCAGCAACUCUUUAGGCUCCUUUGUUGAUCGGAUGUGAUGUAAGAUCUAUUAGCGAAGAUGCAUUAGAGAUACUGAGCAACUCCGAGGUCAUUGCUGUUAAUCAAGGUAUCAAUUUCAAGUUAUCUUCACGUUUCACAGAUAACAUAAGGAGAACGUAAACAAGAUGUGGUUUCUGUCAAACAGAUUCACUUGGAGUUCAAGGGAAGAAGGUAGUGUGGGGAGGCGGUACAGAGGUCUGGUCCCUUCGAUAUCUUAAACAUUUUCUCUUUGAAGCUUAGACUGUCACAUCUAUCAUAGUUGAGAAUUGAUAGGAUGUGUCAACCGUCUUCAUCAUUCUGUCUCAACAACCUUGCAAUUGCUGUCGGCUCGUGUAGGUUUGGGCAGGCCCGCUCAGUGGAGGGACGGUGGCCGUGGUCCUCUGGAACCGCGGAAGUUCACCAGCGACGAUCACCGCCGAAUGGUCCGAUAUAGGCCUCUCGUCGUCGACCGUCGUCAAUGCUCGUGAUCUUUGGGCAGUAAGCGUCCGAGACGAAUCCAUUUCCUUCUCUACGAUAGAUUCAUGUUCUUACUGUCUUCGACUUCAAAUCCAUGUUUCAGCAUUCGGAUACUGCAUCCGUUCAAGGGGAGCUGACUGCUACGGUGGAUUCUCAUGCUUGCAAGAUGUACGUUCUGACGCCGCAGUAGGCCGCUCUGCUUUCACCAAACAUGGAGAGACGAUUAUAGCAGAUCUGAAGAGAAUUUUGAACACAUUGGAGAGACAAUGCUACUUCUACAUGUGAUCCAAGAUGUAAUGCAUGUUCCUGUAAUUUGCUAUGUCAUUCCAUUAGUAUACUUGGAGACUACACAAUUAUUGGAUGAUUAAUGGCGAGAGAGACGGAAAACAAUAUCAGAUGUCUGUGCUGCUAGCACACAAAUGGCUGGCUGAAAGUGAUUUAGACUCCAACUCAUUGCAAAGCACCAUCCAUAAUGCAUGCUCGACUGAUGACCGAACCACAUUUGGUCUUAACAAUAACAAUGAUGUUUUGAUCUUAACAAUAACUGAUGUAUAUAGAUCAUCAUCUUUCGUUGUGAAACCAAUGAAGUAUAUAGCACCUUUGAGCACUCCAUAAGUGACAAAGUAAAAGAAACAGGACUGAUGUGACUUGAAUCCUGGACCAAAUGGCCAAACUAAAUUCGACAGUGGAAAUCUCAACUACUGCUAAAUCUCAUUCAUGACAACUCAUACUGAAAGAUUUCAUCUUUCAAACAACAACUCUUGAAAACUAAUCCAGAAGGCUUUCCAGAUUCCUGUAGUAUAUAUAAUAUUUGAAAAGAGACACCAACCAAAUUGCUGUGAAGAAAUGACUUGACAGGAAAGCAAUGUGCUAACUGGAAGCAUCGAUAAAAACAUGUGUCCUUCGUAAUAAAAACAUUAAAAAUCUAGGACCACUUAAAAGUAGAUAUAUCUUAAAUAGGUGGCAAAGUCAAUGUUAGAAUGGAACCCAAACAAUAUAAAUAUAACUAAGAAGCAAUUGUCCUCGAUGAAAACUUUAUUUGGACAAGCGAAUAGGGUGAACCAUCACCAAUAUAACUCCACAAGACACGCUUAAAAAAGACACCAUAGUCAGGAGAUCGAAGAGGUUUUUCCUAACUUCCCAAGUGAAGAAAGGCAUGCGAACUGAAAUGUUUACAGCCUUGGAGGAAGAUUUUGAUUUACCAAGUAUUUACUGCAAGAAGAUAAUAUAUUUCCGGGAGCUGGUUUGCUGUUAAUGAGGAAUUCGUGCACUUCUUCGUCUAAUAAAUAAGAAUGCAUAUAAGCAUAAUAAACAACUAUGCUAUCUAAUACCAAAACUUCAAAACGGGAUAAGAUUACAUAAACCAAAUGGCAAGGGAAGAGGAAAUAUCUUCUUUUAGUUUCACAAACUUCAACUACUAUAAAACCAACCAACUUGUCUCAUCAACAGUUUAAAUGUCAACGUCUUGGAGGCACCUAAGUAUUAUCACACUAUUCUAAACUCGCCUUCAACAUUUUCCACAUGGCAUUUCUGACCACUUCCGAUUCCAGAUUUCGUUUACACUAUCUAACUUUUCUUACGUACAAUAAUUUCCAAAUAAACUAUUAUGUAACACCGGCUACGUCAGGGCAAGCAUACACAUCAAUUUAUUUUCUUGAAAGCAACAUGCAUGCCACUGUCUACAAAUUACAACUACCUAAUGGUCAUGUUAUAAUAUAUUUAUAUGUAUUAAUGUGUGAGGAGACAUUGAAAAAGAUGACAAAAAGAAUAGUCCUGCAGCUUAAGCUUUUUGGGUUGAAUUGGUAUAUGACUUAAUAUAUAUUAAUCUUAACUAAUUUAACUUACAUUCAUUGUUAAGUUGAAGGAAAAAAGAUGAUAAAAAGGUGAAUAGUAAAAAAAAAAAAAGGAGAGAGAGAGAUUAAGAAAAGUUUUAAAUAAUUAAAAAAAGAUAAAGAGUUUUGAGUCAAGAUGAGCUUCGUAACUAGAGUCAAGCUUAUAGUACUAACAAAGUUAGCUAAACCAAAUGGUCAAACUUGCGGUGGGGAUAAAGUUAGUCACACCAUUGAUCAAUGAUUGUAGAUAAAAUUAACUAUGUCACAAGCCCUUACUUGUUAGGGGGAGACAAUUGAGCCACAUAUGAAUAGGAAGAGAAUGUUUCAAGAUAUUCAUGUGUAAGUAGAGAUUAAAAAAAAACUAAAAAAAUAAUCUCACAUCAGUAAAUAUCAAGAGAGUCACAUGAUAUAUGUUUAAUUCUAACCUAUAAUCUAAUCAUUUAAGUUUUUGGAUUGAAUUGGUGUGAUGAUUAUUUCUAUUUUUCACUAUGAUUAUUAUUUAAAAUCUUAUUUUAAAAAAAUUAAUAUCUCAAAACUAUCCUUUCAUAAAUGGAUAUAAAUAUCUUUCGUCUCUUCUUCUACCUCCAAGGAUAGUGAGCUGGGAGUGCAAUAAUCAAUGGGGCACACAAGAUAAGAGACGACACACAACCAUAAAUAUGACCUGUGGACAUUAAUCGACGAUAGAUGAGAGUUGUGGGUAAUGAUCGACAAUAGGAAAUAUGAGGGAGUGACGACGUUGACAGGAUGCAUCGGGAAUAUGGGUAUGGGAAAAAAUAAGCUAAUUACAUAGUAUAAUCUAUAAUUAGCUCAGAUAUUAUGUUAUCUUUUAUAAUAAAAAAUAUUUUAUUUAUGAUAAAAAAAAUAAAAAAAAUUGAUAGCAACUGUGAGGAUGAUAAAAAAAAAAUAAUAUUUUCUUUAUUAUUUUUAGAUUUCUCCUUACAUACAAUUAUUAUUUUUAGAUUUCUCCUCACAUGUUUAAUGGAUAAGACCAAUCCAUCAUUUUUUUCUGGCUCCAAACCCUCAUUCAAAUUACCUAAUAUCAAAAAUAUAUAUCAUGAGUUGGUCUUAUAUAUAGUUUGAUUCUCAUAUAUGUUUGGCAAAGAUUUAGGGACUAAAUUAACAUGAUUUUCUCUCAGUUACUGGAAGGCGCACUUGGAAAGGCCAAAGAAGAUAUUGUUUGUGAAGUACAAGAGGCUGCAACAUGACAUGUUGCUAUGUUAAUGACAAUAAUGGAUGGAGAGCUUAGUUCCCAUGCACAUGGAAAAUGGAUAAGACCAACCCAUCAAUUUUUUUUUUUUGGGUUCCAAAUGCUUAUUCAAAUUACCUAAUAUCAAAAAUAUAUACCAUGAGUUGGGCCUAUAUAUAGUUUGAUUUCUCAUGUAUGUUUGGCUAAGAUUUAGGAAAUCGUUAGAUCAGCCUGAGUGGCCUCAUCACGUUUUCCAUGGCCGACGCUUACAGAUCCCAGCUCGAAGAAGAAGAGGAGGAGGAAGAAGGAGUCCAUCACCGGACCUAUCAACACUACACACAACUCGUGUCGGCACUACCAAGCGUAGACUCCGGCAAUGGAAGACCAAUCUUCUGCUACGACGGCUGGUACUGUUUGUCGUCGGGCAUAAUAGGCACCAUGGUCGCCCAAAAAUACUUCAAAGCUCGCCCUACCGACGUACUAGUCGCCACGAUGCCCAAGUCUGGCACCACAUGGAUGAAAGCCCUCGUCUUCUCCACCAUAAACCGUGGCUCCUGCGUCGACUCCCAACAUGCCUUGGAGUCCUACAAUCCCCAUGAGUGCAUCCCCUACCUUGAACUCCAAAUCUACACCAACAACCGAGUACCUGACCUAAGCAAGCUGCCACCCCCGCGACUCUUCUCCACACACAUCCCCUUCCAUUCCCUACCGGCGUCGGUGGUGGACUCCGACUGCAGAGUCGUGUACUUGUGCCGCAACC
rnacentral:lncRNA from 1 species